AGCAGCCGCGGUAAUUCCAGCUCCAAUAGCGUAUAUUAAAGUUGUUGCAGUUAAAAAGCUCGUAGUUGAAUUUCGGGGUCAGCAGGUUGGUCGUGCCUCUGGUACGCACUGGUUUCGCUGAUUCCUCCUUUCUGAAGAACUGUAAUGUCAUUAAUUUGGUGUUGCAGGGAAACAGGACUGUUACUUUGAAAAAAUUAGAGUGUUUAAAGCAAGCUAACGCUUGAAUACAUUAGCAUGGAAUAAUGAAAUAGGACGUUUGAUCCUAUUUUGUUGGUUUCUAGGAUUGACGUAAUGAUUAAUAGGGAUAGUUGGGGGCAUUAGUAUUCAAUUGUCAGAGGUGAAAUUCUUGGAUUUAUUGAAGGCUAACUACUGCGAAAGCAUUUGCCAAGGAUGUUUUCAUUAAUCAAGAACGAAAGUUAGGGGAUCGAAGACGAUCAGAUACCGUCGUAGUCUUAACCAUAAACUAUGCCGACUAGGGAUCGGAUGAUGUUAAUUUUUUAAUGACUCA
rnacentral:rRNA from 1 species